rnacentral:rRNA from 1 species
GGCUCAGAUUGAACGCUGGCGGCAGGCCUAACACAUGCAAGUCGAGCGGUAACAGAGAGUAGCUUGCUACUUUGCUGACGAGCGGCGGACGGGUGAGUAAUGCUUGGGAACAUGCCUUGAGGUGGGGGACAACAGUUGGAAACGACUGCUAAUACCGCAUAAUGUCUACGGACCAAAGGGGGCUUCGGCUCUCGCCUUUAGAUUGGCCCAAGUGGGAUUAGCUAGUUGGUGAGGUAAUGGCUCACCAAGGCGACGAUCCCUAGCUGGUUUGAGAGGAUGAUCAGCCACACUGGGACUGAGACACGGCCCAGACUCCUACGGGAGGCAGCAGUGGGGAAUAUUGCACAAUGGGCGCAAGCCUGAUGCAGCCAUGCCGCGUGUGUGAAGAAGGCCUUCGGGUUGUAAAGCACUUUCAGUCAGGAGGAAAG